GACGUAGGGCGCGAGCGUUGUCCGGAUUUAUUGGGCGUAAAGAGCUCGUAGGCGGCUUGUCGCGUCGAAUGUGAAAUCUCAGGGCUCAACUCUGACAUUGCAUUCGAUACGGGCAGGCUCGAGUUCGGUAGGGGAGACUGGAAUUCCUGGUGUAGCGGUGAAAUGCACAGAUAUCAGGAGGAACACCGGUGGCGAAGGCGGGUCUCUGGGCCGAUACUGACGCUGAGGAGCGAAAGCGUGGGGAGCGAACAGG
rnacentral:rRNA from 1 species